rnacentral:rRNA from 1 species
UACGGAGGGAGCUAGCGUUGUUCGGAAUUACUGGGCGUAAAGCGCACGUAGGCGGCUUUUUAAGUCAGGGGUGAAAUCCCGGGGCUCAACCCCGGAACUGCCCUUGAAACUGGAGAGCUAGAAUCUUGGAGAGGCGAGUGGAAUUCCGAGUGUAGAGGUGAAAUUCGUAGAUAUUCGGAAGAACACCAGUGGCGAAGGCGGCUCACUGGACCGUUGUUGACGCUGAGGUGCGAAAGCGUGGGGAGCAAACAGG